rnacentral:rRNA from 1 species
GACGAACGCUGGCGGCGUGCUUAACACAUGCAAGUCGAACGGAAAGGCCCUGCUUUUGUGGGGUGCUCGAGUGGCGAACGGGUGAGUAACACGUGAGUAACCUGCCCCUGACUUUGGGAUAACUUCAGGAAACUGGGGCUAAUACCGGAUAGGAGCUCCUGCUGCAUGGUGGGGGGUGGAAAGUUUCGGCGGGUGGGGAUGGACUCGCGGCUUAUCAGCUUGUUGGUUGGGUAGUGGCUUACCAAGGCUUUGACGGGUAGCCGGCCUGAGAGGGUGACCGGCCACAUUGGGACUGAGAUACGGACCAGACUCCUACGGGAGGCAGCAGUGGGGAAUAUUGCACAAUGGGCGGAAGCCUGAUGCAGCAACGCCGCGUGUGGGAUGACGGCCUUCGGGUUGUAAAAAGCUUUCGCCUGUGACGAAGCGUGAGUGACGGUAAUGGGUAAAGAAGCACCGGCUAACUACGUG